AGUGAACGCUGGCGGUAGGCCUAACACAUGCAAGUCGAACGGCAGCACAGUAAGAGCUUGCUCUUACGGGUGGCGAGUGGCGGACGGGUGAGGAAUACAUCGGAAUCUACUUUUUCGUGGGGGAUAACGUAGGGAAACUUACGCUAAUACCGCAUACGACCUACGGGUGAAAGCAGGGGAUCUUCGGACCUUGCGCGAUUGAAUGAGCCGAUGUCGGAUUAGCUAGUUGGCGGGGUAAAGGCCCACCAAGGCGACGAUCCGUAGCUGGUCUGAGAGGAUGAUCAGCCACACUGGAACUGAGACACGGUCCAGACUCCUACGGGAGGCAGCAGUGGGGAAUAUUGGACAAUGGGCGCAAGCCUGAUCCAGCCAUACCGCGGGGGUGAAGAAGGCCUGCGGGUUGUAAAGCCCUUUUGUUGGGAAAGAAAAGCAGCAGGUUAAUACCCCGCUGUUCUGACGGUACCCAAAGAAUAAGCACCGGCUAACUUCGU
rnacentral:rRNA from 1 species